rnacentral:rRNA from 1 species
GAUGAACGCUGGCGGCGUGCCUAAUACAUGCAAGUCGAGCGAACAGACGAGGAGCUUGCUCCUCUGACGUUAGCGGCGGACGGGUGAGUAACACGUGGAUAACCUACCUAUAAGACUGGGAUAACUUCGGGAAACCGGAGCUAAUACCGGAUAAUAUAUUGAACCGCAUGGUUCAAUAGUGAAAGACGGUUUUGCUGUCACUUAUAGAUGGAUCCGCGCCGCAUUAGCUAGUUGGUAAGGUAACGGCUUACCAAGGCAACGAUGCGUAGCCGACCUGAGAGGGUGAUAGGCGACCCUGGAACGGAGACACGGUCCAGAGGCCUACGGGAGGCAGCAGUAGCGAAUCUUACGCAAUGGGCGAAAGCCUGACGGAGCAACGCCGAGUGAGUGAUGACGGUCUUGGGAUCGUAAAACUCUGUUAUUAGGGAAGAACAACUGUGUAAGUAAAUAUGCACGUAUUGACGGUACUUAAUCAGAAAGCCACGGCUAACUACGUG